rnacentral:rRNA from 1 species
AGGACGACGCUGGCGGCGUGCCUAACACAUGCAAGUCGAACGGAGUUACAAAGAAGCUUGCUUUGGAGUAACUUAGUGGCGGACGGGUGAGUAACGCGUGAGCAACCUGCCUUCAGAGGGGAAUAACGACCGGAAACGGUCGCUAAUACCGCAUAACGUAUCAUGAUGGCAUCAUCGAGAUACCAAAGGAGCAAUCCGCUGAAAGAUGGGCUCGCGUCCGAUUAGAUAGUUGGUGGGGUAACGGCUCACCAAGUCGACGAUCGGUAGCCGAACUGAGAGGUUGAUCGGCCGCAUUGGGACUGAGAUACGGCCCAGACUCCUACGGGAGGCAGCAGUGGGGAAUAUUGGGCAAUGGGGGAAACCCUGACCCAGCAACGCCGCGUGAAGGAAGAAGGCCUUCGGGUUGUAAACUUCUUUUACCAGGGACGAAGAACGUGACGGUACCUGGAGAAAAAGCAACGGCUAACUACGUG